UCGGAUAUGGUGUAAUGGCUAACAUUGCCGCCUCUCAAGUAUAUUGCGGCAGCUCGGGUUUCGAUUCCCCGUAUCCAAA
rnacentral:tRNA from 1 species